GCUUACGGCCCACACCUCCCUGAGCAGCCGAUCUCGUCUGAUCUCGGAAGCUAAGCAGGGUCGGGCCCGGGUAGUACUUGGAUGGGAGACCGCCUGGGAAUACCAGGUGCUGUAGCCU
rnacentral:rRNA from 1 species